rnacentral:rRNA from 1 species
AUUGAACGCUGGCGGCAGGCCUAACACAUGCAAGUCGAACGAGUGGCGGACGGGUGAGUAAUGUCUGGGAAACUGCCUGAUGGAGGGGGAUAACUACUGGAAACGGUAGCUAAUACCGCAUACCAUCGGAUGUUCCCAGAUGGGAUUGGUUAGUAGGUGGGGUAAAGGCUCACCUAGGCGACGAUCCCUAGCUGGUCUGAGAGGAUGACCAGCCACACUGGAACUGAGACACGGUCCAGACUCCUACGGGAGUAAGCAGUGGGGAAUAUUGCACAAUGGGCGCAAGCCUGAUGCAGCCAUGCCGCGUGUAUGAAUAAGGCCUUCGGGUUGUAAAGUACUUUCAGCGGGGAGGCGUUACCCGCAGAAGAAGCACCGGCUAACUCCGUGCCAGCAGCCGCGGUAAUAC